GUUGGUCUGGCAGUUUAUCUGCCUGUAAUCGGGAAUGCGGUCAGAAUCCGCAGCAGCUCACUCUACUGUAAUGGCUACGAACCCCUGAUACCACUGUAAAUCAUUGAUUUGCGGGAAGGAAGGGUACUAGGUAUGAAGCCAUAAGCCAGGAUAUCGUCCAACACU
rnacentral:ncRNA from 1 species